rnacentral:rRNA from 1 species
AACGAACGCUGGCGGCAUGCCUAACACAUGCAAGUCGAACGAUGCUUUCGGGCAUAGUGGCGCACGGGUGCGUAACGCGUGGGAAUCUGCCCUUGGGUUCGGGAUAACCGUUGGAAACGACGGCUAAUACCGGAUGAUGACGUAAGUCCAAAGAUUUAUCGCCCAGGGAUGAGCCCGCGUAGGAUUAGCUAGUUGGUGGGGUAAAGGCCUACCAAGGCGACGAUCCUUAGCUGGUCUGAGAGGAUGAUCAGCCACACUGGGACUGAGACACGGCCCAGACUCCUACGGGAGGCAGCAGUGGGGAAUAUUGGACAAUGGGCGAAAGCCUGAUCCAGCAAUGCCGCGUGAGUGAUGAAGGCCUUAGGGUUGUAAAGCUCUUUUACCCGGGAUGAUAAUGACAGUACCGGGAGAAUAAGCCCCGGCUAACUCCGUGCCAGCCGCCGCCGUAA